CAGAGCUGUGGAAUAUCUUCUAAUG
rnacentral:piRNA from 2 species